rnacentral:lncRNA from 1 species
CUCGCGAGGGCCUUGUUCAGGGUGGUGUUGUUCCUUCUUGAUCUUGCGUUGAUGAAAUGGGCUAGGCCUGGGUCGCAGGUAGGCAGGUCUGCAUAUCCCCAUUCCCAGAACGCCGACAGUAGCCACCGGGCUCAAGGCACACAUGGGUUGGCCUCUCGGUGAAGCAUUGAGGGCACCUCGAAGGAUCGCAGGCCCCAUUUGCAUGCAGGCCGGGAUUUUAUAACGGCAAGCCCAUCCUCUUCGUGCAGCAUCCCCUUACCUGCGUCGGUCGUCCACCUCCACCCCAUAUCCAUUCCGCCGCCAGCUCUUCCUCUGAUCCACGCUCAUCACAUUGUCUUUUCCUUGUUCUCCCAACCAUGCCUGAGAAAGGGGGAAAAUGCGGGGGCUCGCGGGGUUCAACCGUCCCGGUGGUGCCCUGGCCCACGCUAGAACAGUCGGCUGUGGUGAACCUCAAGGGGUUGAAGAAGGUUCGGCUGGUAGUUCUUGUCGACUCCAAUGAGUGGGGGGCCACCCAGAUCUGGCCGGGCUCACGGCCUCGGAGGGAGGGGUGUCCCCCGUGGUUCAUCUCCAUUUCCACACCCUCCUUUCUGGUGUAC